ensembl:lncRNA
AUGAAUGAGGAUGAAUCAUCAGCCGGGGGUUUCCUCUCGUCUCCUCUCCUCUCCUCUCGUCUCCUCUCGUCUCCUCUCGUCUCCUCUCGUCUCGUCUCGUCUCCUCUCGUCUCCUCUCGUCUCCUCUCGUCUCCCGUCUCCUCUCGUCUCCUCGUCUCCUCUCGUCUCCUCUCGUCUCCUCUCGUCUCGUCUCGUCUCCUCUCGUCUCCUCUCGUCUCCUCUCGCUCUCCUCUCGUCUCCUCUCGUCUCCUCUCGUCUCCUCUCGUCUCGUCUCGUCUCCUCUCGUCUCCUCUCGUCUCCUCUCGUCUCCUCUCGUCUCCUCUCGUCUCCUCUCGUCUCCUCUCGUCUCCUCGCGUCUCCUCGCGUCUCCUCUCGUCUCCUCUCGUCUCCUCUCGUCUCCUCUCUCUCGUCUCCUCUCCUCGUCUCCUCUCCUCUCGUCUCCUCGCUCUCCUCUCGUCUCCUCUCAUCUCGUCUCUUCUCGUCUCCUCUCAUCUCGUCUCCUCUCGUCUCCUCUCCUCUCGUCUCCUCCUCUCGUCUCCUCCUCUCAUCUCGUCUCCUCUCGUCUCCUCUCUCCUCGUCUCCUCGUCUCCUCUCGUCUCCUCUCGUCUCCUCCUCCUCUCGUCUCCUCUCUCUCUCUCGUCUCCUCUCGUCUCCUCGUCUCGUCUCCUCUCGUCUCCUCUCGUCUCCUCUCGUCUCCUCUCCUCUCGUCUCGUCUCCUCUCGUCUCUCUCUCUCCUCUCGUCUCGUCUCCUCGUCUCUCUCGCUCUCGUCUCGUCUCCUCUCUCUCGUCUCGUCUCCUCUCGUCUCCUCUCGUCUCCUCUCGUCUCCUCUCCUCUCCUCUCGUCUCCUCUCUCUCCUCCUCGUCUCGUCUCCUCUCGUCUCCUCUCGUCUCCUCUCCUCUCCUCUCGUCUCCUCACGUCUCCUCUCGUCUCCUCUCCUCUCGUCUCCUCUCGUCUCGUCUCCUCUCCUCUCGUCUCCUCUCGUCUCCUCUCGUCUCCUCUCCUCUCGUCUCCUCUCCUCUCGUCGUCUCGUCUCGUCUCCUCUCCUCUCGUCUCCUCUCGUCUCCUCUCGUCUCCUCUCCUCCUCCUCUCCGUCUCCUCUCGUCUCCUCUCCUCUCCUCUCGUCUCCUCUCGUCUCCUCUCGUCUCCUCUCCUCUCCUCUCGUCUCCUCUCCUCUCCUCACGUCUCGUCUCCUCGUCUCCUCUCGUCUCGUCUCCUCUCCUCUCGUCUCCUCUCGUCUCCUCUCGUCUCCUCUCCUCUCGUCUCCUCUCGUCUCGUCUCCUCUCCUCUCCUCUCCUCUCGUCUCCUCUCGUCUCCUCUCGUCUCCUCUCCUCUCCUCUCGUCUCCUCUCCUCUCCUCUCGUCUCCUCUCCUCUCUCUCCUCCUCCUCUCCUCUCGUCUCCUCUCCUCUCGUCUCCUCUCCUCUCGUCUCCUCUCGUCUCGUCUCCUCCUCCUCCUCCUCGUCUCCUCUCCUCUCGUCUCCUCUCGUCUCGUCUCGUCUCCUCUCUCUCCUCCUCCUCGUCUCUCCUCGUCUCCUCUCGUCUCCUCUCGUCUCCUCGUCUCUCUCGUCUCCUCUCGUCCUCGUCUCCCUCUCGUCUCCUCGUCCUCGUCUCCUCUCCUCUCGUCUCCUCACGUCUCCUCUCGUCUCCUCCUUCCUCGUCUCCUCUCGUCUCGUCUCCUCUCCUCCUCGUCUCCUCACGUCCUCCUCUCGUCUCCUCUCCUCUCGUCUCCUCCUCUCGUCCUCCUCUCGUCUCGUCUCCUCUCCUCCUCCUCCCUCGUCUCCUCCUCUCUCCUCUCGUCUCGUCUCCUCUCGUCUCUUCUCGUCUCCUCGUCUCCUCUCGUCUCCUCUCGUCUCGUCUCCUCCUCUCGUCUCCUCACGUCUCCUCUCUCUCCUCCUCUCGUCUCCUCUCGUCCUCGUCUCCUCUCCUCUCGUCUCCUCACGUCUCCUCUCGUCUCCUCUCCGUCUCCUCUCCUCCUCGUCUCCUCUCGUCUUCCUCUCUCUCCUCCUCCUCUCUCCUCUCGUCUCCUCACGUCUCCUCUCGUCUCCUCUCCUCUCGUCUCCUCUCGUCUCGUCUCCCGUCUCCUCUCGUCUCGUCUCGUCUCGUCUCCUCGUCUCCUCUCGUCUCGUCUCUCCUCUCCUCUCGUCUCCUCUCGUCUCCUCUCUUCUCCUCGUCUCCUCUCCUCUCGUCUCCUCUCGUCUCGUCUCGUCUCACUAAAGUAAAGUGUAGAAGUCAGACAAAUAAAAUUACUUUGACCCUUGUGACUGAAGGAUGA